GACGAACGCUGGCGGCGUGCUUAACACAUGCAAGUCGAACGGAAAGGCCCCUUUGGGGGUACUCGAGUGGCGAACGGGUGAGUAACACGUGAGUAACCUGCCCUUGACUUCGGGAUAACUUCAGGAAACUGGGGCUAAUACCGGAUAGGAAUCCUUGCUGCAUGGUGGGGGUUGGAAAGCUUCGGCGGUUUUGGAUGGACUCGCGGCUUAUCAGCUUGUUGGUGGAGUAGUGGCUUACCAAGGCUUUGACGGGUAGCCGGCCUGAGAGGGCGACCGGCCACAUUGGGACUGAGAUACGGCCCAGACUCCUACGGGAGGCAGCAGUGGGGAAUAUUGCACAAUGGGCGGAAGCCUGAUGCAGCAACGCCGCGUGCGGGAUGACGGCCUUCGGGUUGUAAACCGCUUUCAGCAGGGGCGAAGCUUGUGGUGACGGUACCUGCAGAAGAAGCACCGGCUAACUACGUG
rnacentral:rRNA from 1 species